UUGAUAGAAACCAAAAUAGAGGUGUAUCACUGUUAAUGAUAUAAUUGAAUUAUAAAUUUCCUGUCAAG
rnacentral:tRNA from 1 species